UGAGGUAGUAAGUUGUGUUGUUGUGGGGUGUGGGAUAUCACCGCCCCAUUUAGGAGAUGCAACUAUACAACUUACUGCCUUCC
rnacentral:pre_miRNA from 1 species